GAUGAACGCUGGCGGCGUGCCUAAUACAUGCCAGUCGAGCGAACAGACGAGGAGCUUGCUCCUCUGACGUUAGCGGCGGACGGGUGAGUAACACGUGGAUAACCUCCCUUUAAGACUGGGAUAACUUCGGGAAACCGGAGCUAAUACCGGAUAAUAUCUUGAACCGCAUGGUUCAAUAUUAAAAGACGGUUUUGCUGUCACUUAUAUAUGGAUCCGCGCCGCAUUAGAUAGUUGGUAAGGUAACGGCUUACCAAUGCGACGAUGCGUAGCCGACCUGAGAGGGUGAUCGGCCACACUGGAACUGAGACACGGUCCAGACUACUACGGGAGGCAGCAGUAGGGAAUCUUCCGCAAUGGGCGAAAGCCUGACGGAGCAAAGCCGCGUGAGUGAUGAAGGUCUUCGGAUCGUAAAACUCUGUUAUUAGGGAAGAACAAAUGUGUAAGUAACUAUGCACGUCUUGACGGUACCUAAUCAGAAAGCCACGGCUAACUACGUG
rnacentral:rRNA from 1 species